UAUAAUGGAUCCGAUUAAGUUAACAA
rnacentral:sRNA from 1 species